rnacentral:rRNA from 1 species
AUUGCACGCUGGCGGCAGGCCUCACACAUGCAAGUCGAGCGGAGCGGCGGACGGGUGAGUAAUGCCUAGGAAUAUGCAUGGUAGUGGGGGAUAACGUCCGGAAACGGGAGCUAAUACCGCAUACUAUCAGAUGAGCCUAGGUCGGAUUGGCUGGUGGGUUGGGUAAAGUCCUACCAAGGCGACGAACCGUAUAUGGUCUGCGAGGAUGAUCAGUCACACUGGAAAUUAGACACGGUCCAGACUCCUACGGGAGGCAUCAGGGGGGAAUAUUGGCCAAUGGGCGAAAGCCUGAUCCAGCCAUGCCGCGUGUGUGAAGAAGGUCUUCGGAUGGUAAAGCACUUUAAGUUGGGAGGCGUUACCAACAGAAUAAGCACCGGCUAACUUCGUGCCAGCAGCCGCGGUAAUAC